rnacentral:misc_RNA from 1 species
UAGUACAACGGAGGUGCGACGGCUGUUGCUGACCCUUCAAAGGUCGUGCACGCUCGAGCUCUCUCUUACACAUCCAUCUCACCCUUUGUGCAUCGCCGCGUGGGUCCCCCCCCUUUGGAGGGGGGCUUGCGUUUUUCACAUAAAACUAGACGCAGUGUAGAAUGUCUUUUUAUUUUUGUGGUCACACGCAAUCAAUA